rnacentral:rRNA from 1 species
UAGCGGCAGGCUUAACACAUGCAAGUCGAGGGGCAGCGAAUCUAGCUUGCUAGAUGUCGGCGACCGGCGAACGGGUGCGUAACGCGUAUAGAAUCUGCCUUGUACAGGAGGAUAGCCUUUAGAAAUGAAGAUUAAUACUCCAUAGUGUUGUGAACUGGCAUCAGUUUAUAAUUAAAGAUUUAUCGGUACAAGAUGACUAUGCGUCCUAUUAGCUAGAUGGUAAGGUAACGGCUUACCAUGGCGACGAUAGGUAGGGGGUCUGAGAGGAUUAUCCCCCACACUGGUACUGAGACACGGACCAGACUCCUACGGGAGGCAGCAGUGAGGAAUAUUGGUCAAUGGAGGCAACUCUGAACCAGCCAUGCCGCGUGCAGGAAGACUGCCCUAUGGGUUGUAAACUGCUUUUAUACAGGAAGAAACAGAACUACGUGUAGUUCCUUGACGGUACUGUAAGAA